GACGAACGCUGGCGGCGUGCUUAACACAUGCAAGUCGAACGGAAAGGCCCUGCUUUUGUGGGGUGCUCGAGUGGCGAACGGGUGAGUAACACGUGAGUAACCUGCCCUUGACUUUGGGAUAACUUCAGGAAACUGGGGCUAAUACCGGAUAGGAGCUCCUGCUGCAUGGUGGGGGUUGGAAAGUUUCGGCGGUUGGGGAUGGACUCGCGGCUUAUCAGCUUGUUGGUGGGGUAGUGGCUUACCAAGGCUUUGACGGGUAGCCGGCCUGAGAGGGUGACCGGCCACAUUGGGACUGAGAUACGGCGCAGACUCCUACGGGAGGCAGCAGUGGGGAAUAUUGCACAAUGGGCGGAAGCCUGAUGCAGCAACGCCGCGUGCGGGAUGACGGCCUUCGGGUUGUAAACCGCUUUAGCCUGUGACGAAGCGUGAGUGACGGUAAUGGGUAAAGAAGCACCGGCUAACUACGUG
rnacentral:rRNA from 1 species